CGGAGGCGGAGGCGGAGGAGGGAAAUGAAAGGUGGAGGCGGGGGUUAUCCCGGGAAAAGGCGAUGGAGGUGUCUGGUUAUAGGCGUACUUUUCCUCGUCGUCCUUUCUAUGCUUGUUCCCCUCGUCUUCUUGCUCGGCCUUUACAACGGUUUUCACUCUUCUGGAUACGUCUCUGAUUGGUCAAGUUCUAGUUCUGAUUCGGAUUCAAAUGGAGCUAGAGUUGAUCACGGCACUCAUCUGAUCCAUCAUAAGAGUGACCAAUCAAAUAUACAGGAAAUUAUAGAUCAUUUUGCGCCAACCCUUCCAAGUCUAGAGGGUGCUUUAAGAAAUCAUAUAAAUGAAGUGAGAAAUGUAAGUAGCACUACAAGCGUAAAGAAUGAUGGCCAACAACAACAGAAAGGUACCCCAAUGCCACCUCAUUCUUUGCCACGACCACUUUCUGUUGGAAAUCAUAAUGAUAAAGCUGGUACAACAAAAGUAACUAAAUCCACUAAAAAUGUAGGCGAGGACAAUGAAAAAUUAUGUGAGCUGAGAUUCGGCAGUUAUUGCAAAUGGCGCAAAGAACAUAGAGAAGACAUGAAGGAUUCUGUGGUGAAGAAAUUAAAGGACCGGCUUUUUGUUGCUAGAGCAUAUUUUCCAAGUAUUGCCAAACUUCCUGCACAGAACAAGUUGUCUCAAGAAUUGAAACAAAAUAUUCAAGAAUUUGAACGUAUUCUUAGUGAAAGUACAACAGAUGCUGAUCUUCCAUCACAAAUUGAGAUGAAGUUACAGAAGAUGGAAGUUGCAAUAGCCAAAGCCAAAACAUUCCCUGUGGAAUGUCAUAAUGUUGACAAGAAAUUGAGACAAAUACUUGAUAUGACUGAGGAUGAAGCUAACUUUCACAUGAGGCAGAGUGCAUUUCUCUAUCAGCUUGCAGUUCAAACCAUGCCAAAGGGUCUUCACUGUCUGUCCAUGAAACUGACCGUUGAAUAUUUCAAUUCUUCUUUAUAUGAUAGGGCACCCCUUCCAUCUGAGAAAUUUUUGGAUCCUAACUUGCAUCACUAUGUUAUAUUCUCCAAUAAUAUACUUGCUUCUUCAGUUGUUAUCAACUCAACUGUUACACAUGCAAGAGUAUGUUCUAUUAGUCUUCUGUGCGCUUUUCACUAUUAAAUGGCUGCAAAUUCAGAUAUUAAUACUAAUGGGUUAUUCUGCAUGCUGCAGGAUAGUGGCAAUCUGGUUUUUCAUGUGCUGACGGAUAAACAAAAUUAUUUUGCAAUUAAGUUAUGGUUCUUCAGGAAUGCUUAUAGAGAAGCCGCCAUUCAAGUGUUGAACAUUGAACAUCUUGACCUAAACUAUCAUGAUAAGGCAUCUUUGUUAAGCAUGUCCUUGCCUGUAGAAUUUCAUGUUUCUUUUCUAGGUGUUGAUAGUCCAUCUGCAACUCAUUUAAAAACAGAAUACAUAUCUGUUUUUUCUCAUGCUCACUAUCUUCUUCCAUAUAUAUUCCAGAACUUGAAGAAAGUUGUGGUUCUGGAUGAUGAUGUUGUUGUGCAGCAAGACUUGUCCAAUUUGUGGAAUCUCAACAUGGGAGGGAAAGUAAAUGGUGCUGUGCAAUUGUGUUCAGUGCAGUUGGGUCAGCUCACCAGUUAUUUGGGUGAAAAUAGUUUUGAUAAAAAUUCUUGUGUUUGGAUGUCUGGAUUAAAUGUAAUUGAUCUUGCUAGGUGGAGAGAGCUGGAUCUUACUGAAACUUACCGGAAAUUGGGACAACAGGUUAGCAAGAUGACACAAUCAAUUGAAGCUUCUGCAUUGAGUGCAAGCUUGCUUACCUUUCAGGACCAAAUUUAUGCUCUUGAUAACAUGUGGGCUUUGUCAGGAAUGGGGCAUGAUUAUGCACUUGAUGUGCAAGUCAUUAAGAAUGCUGCAGUAUUGCACUAUAAUGGAAUGAUGAAACCUUGGCUGGAGCUAGGAAUCCCAAAGUAUAGACGCUAUUGGAGAAGUUUUCUAAACCGUGAUGAUCAUUUCUUGAGGGAGUGCAAUGUAAAUCAAUGACAGUCAUUGGUCAGGUUGCCAUGUUUUCCGGAAAAUAUAGGCUCGAGAAGGAUGAAUGUGUGUAGAUGUUUAUUUUUUUGGUGCUGAGAAUUUUUCUUUGAGCUGGGUUACCAAAGGGCAACUGGCGAUAGGGUAUAACACCCUUCUGAAUUUUUGAUAAAUAGAAAAAGGAAGAAUAUUUUCUGUUUUCUAGCAAAGCAGAAGGGAUUUGUGACUGCUAGCCAAGCCUGGAGGAUUUGCUGUAUGAAAUGCGAGUUAUUGGUUCAACAGGUGAGGGGAAACUUCAUUCUCUGGUUCUUAUUUUGGUAAAUCGAGAGAGACCCGAAUGCUUGACACUAACAAUAAUCAUGUGCAAGGAAAGGUGUGCCUUUACAUUUAUAUGAAGAAGUUUGAGUUGGCAUUCAUGAUGUAAAUGAUGGAUGGGAAAUCAAGUAGUCUUUUGACAGUCAUACUAAAUUAAUUCUUUUCAGGUUCUAUUACUUGAAUUAGAA
rnacentral:misc_RNA from 1 species